UGUUUUCAUUUGAUUCAUUUUCAGGAGUCUGAGAUGUGCCAACAGUACAGGGUCAUUCCUAGAGUGGGCUACCUGUGUCCAAAGAACUUACAAUAUGUGUGUGGUGAAGAUGGCAGGACAUACAACCAUCCCUGUUUGCUGUGUCAUGAAAAUCUGUUACAUCAAACCAACAUCCAAAUGCUGAGGGAAGGGAGGUGUGAAGAUGAACCUUCAGGAACACUUCCACCAAAUACUUCAGGCAGUAACAAAUGAGUGAUGAAUCAAUCGGAACCUUGAGAAAAAAGGUUCAAUGCUCAGCCCUGGAAAGUUUGCCUUCACCCUUCUGUAUAUAAAGAACUCUUCUGAGCAUGUAUUAUUUACAGUGCAGAACAAUCCUGAGCUACGGGGAAAGGACAUACUGAUUUUUAGUCUUCCAUCCUUCUCUUCCAGGACUCUAUGAUCCUGGUGCGGAGACACAUGCUGCAUUCAGUCAGUGCUCUAGGGCCCCUGGUCACGGUGCUGUCUGUCCAUUUGCUUGUGCAAUAAAAGUAAAAUUAGCAAAAUGGCCAUCCUACUUUUUGUUUCUGAUGAGAUGUGAGAACUAAAAAUUAUUAUUCCCGCAAAGGCUAAAUAACUGCUUCUCUGACCUUUUGCUAAGUGAGAAACUUGCUGGGUAGACUAUACAAGGUCAUUCUCAUCUCUAUCACAUACAGACCUAGAAAGACACUCACCUCUAUCCUAAAUAGUCAUUGAUAUCCAUUUUUACCUCUAUCCUUCACAAAAAGGGCUAUAUUCUUUCAUAUUGUUUUCACAAAGGCAAGGGCUGUUCCUCUUUCACUUCUAUUCCACCCAGAAAGGGCCGACCUCCUUCAUGUCUAUUCAAAAAUAGGCAGGGCUAGACACUUUCAUCUCUAUUUCAUAAAAAGGACCAUUGUACAUCUUUCUUCUAUCCAACAAAAAAUGAGCCCACUCCAGAAAAUCUCAUGAAAUCCCAUAUACACAGGAGACAAAAUGAUGUUCACCAACUUCAAUCCUACUUAGGUACAGCCAGACUCAUUCUUUCCUUUUUCAAUAUCUAAUAAUACUGCUAAUAUGGCCUCUAACUGUAUUAUAUUUUAUACUUCCUGAUUCACAUUUUGAAGAAUUAAUGAAAUGUUUUUCUUUAUGUUUUUUCCUCCCUUAUGCAAGCUAUGUUGGGUGGUGGCAAGAAUAAAAAGAGCUAUUCUGGAAAUAUGUGUAUAUCCCUAAUAAAAAGACAGAGAAGGAAAGGUUAGACAGGUAGGAGGGGAAUGAAGAAAGAAUGAUGUCUCUGAAGCUAAAGAGGAAAAGAUAACUCAGUAGUACUGAGUGGUCAUGUUUCAGAAGGUAGAUAAAGGUCAAGGAGAAUAAAAAUGAAAAAAAAGUCAUGUCAGCUAAGACAUUGGAAAUGAAUAGGGCAAUGGGGGUGGGAGAGUUGAUUAAUGAGUUGUCUUAGAGAAGUUGGGAGGAAAUGGGAUGGAACAAAAGAAUAAUUUUGUGUUUUUGCAGCAUAUUCUGGAUUAUCUGCCCUUUUGAGUUCUUAGAACUGAAGGUACUUCAAAAUUUCAAAAAAUGUGACAAAAUUUAGAACCAAAAUUAUGAGAAAAAGAAUAAGCUAAAGUGUGAGUGUGUGUGUGUGUGUGUGUGUGUGUGUGUGUGAAGAAGCUAACUGUGGUCACUAAAAAUGUACAGCUUCUCAAAUUCAAUCCAUUCUGAAUCUAUUUAAUUCUAAACCCAAUUCAUUGUCCAUAAACAACAAUCUCUCCAAAACUGUAUCUCCAUUAGGUUCAGAAUUUUCUUCUAUUGCUCAUUGGACUGAUAUCUUUUGAAUGACUAUACCUUUUAUUAAAAAUUCUCUGCAUUAUCCUGGGUCUUUAUGUGAUCAAGCCAAAGAAACCAUAAGCAGGGGCAUAUGGAUAUGCUCCAUAUAUAAAAUUCUUCCUUUUAGGCUCUGUAGGACGCUUUCUUUGUUGAAUAUCUUUGAAGAACAUAGAUCUUCCAGGUUGAUGCUUUUCAGGGGAUCACUGAAAAAAGUUUUCUGUACUUACAUUUAAUGAUCUCAAUUCAUUCUGGGGAGACAUCUAGUUGGACAGAAAUCUAUAAAGGCACAUUUUGUUUUGAAUUUAUUAAAAAUCAGAUGAAACCA